AAGCAUUAUAAUACAAGCCAGGGGCCUCGAGGGCUCGAAUACAAGUGCUCGAUCAUAGACGAGUCAGCGGAAGCAAUCUUAUCUGAGUACAGACAUAAGUUAAACAAGUUUGCCUUAAGAAGGCUAGCACAAACUGGGAUACAGAUCGAACGAGGCGCAGGCCUCCUGCCUGGGAUCCUCCUAACUACUCCUCGAAGCCGAACUCCAGGUAGAAUCAUCCUCGGGAUCUCUAGCUCCUGGACUCCAGCAUCUGGUUGCGACAAUCAGGUAUACAAAGGGGAAAAGAGGGAGAAAAGCAACCGUGAGUACUCAUCCAAAGUACUCGCAAGCAAGGAGCUAUACUACAUAUGCAUGGGUAUAUGUGUAAAGGGGCAUAUCAGUGGACUGAACUGCAGAAUGCCAGAAUAAAAGGGGGAUAGCUAGUCCUGUCGAAGACUACGCUUCUGGCCAUCUCCAUCUUGCAGCAUGUAGAAGAGAGUAGAUUGAAGUCCUCCAAGUAGCAUUGUAUAGCAUAAUCCUACCCGGCGAUCCCCUCCUCGUCGCCCUGUUAGAGAGCGAUCACCGGGUUGUAUCUGGCACUUGGAAGGGUGUAUUUUAUUAAGUAUCCAGUUCUAGUUGUCAUAAGGUCAAGGUACAACUCCGGGUCGUCCUUUUACCGAGGGACACAGCUAUUCGAAUAGAUAAACUUCCCUGCAGGGGUGCACCACAUAACCCAACACGCUCGAUCCCAUUUGGCCGGACACACUUUUCUGGGUCAUGCCCGGCCUCGUAAGAUCAACACGUCGCAGCCCCACCUAGGCUCAACAGAGAGGUCAGCACGCCGGUCUAACCCUAUGCGCGCAGGGGUCUGGGCCCAUCGCCCUAUGCACACCUGCACGUUGCGUACGCGGCCGGAAGCAGACCUAGCCCCCUUAAUACAAGCGCGAGCUUACGGUCCAAUGCGGCGCGCGCCACUCAGUUGCUGACGUCAAAAGAGCUUCGGCUGAUACCACGACGUCGGGAUACCCAUAACUACUCCCACGUAGAUGGUUAGUGCGUAUAGACCAAAUGGCCAGACUCAGAUCAAAUACCAAGAUCUCGUUAAGCGUGUUAAGUACCGCGAACGCCGACCAGGGCCAGGCCCACCUCUCACCUAGGCGGUCUCAACCUGCCCUGUCGCUUCGCCACAAAGAUCCACUCGCGGGUACUCCUACGAGCCGACCCGACUUUAGUCAUCACAUGUGUCAUGUAUAUAGUAUAUAAGUAUAUACCCGUGAUCACUGCCCAGGUGAUCACGGCCCGAUAGUAUAGCACAGCAGACGACAAGAAUGUAGGGCCACUGAUGGAAAACUAGCAUCCUAUACUAAGCAUGUAGGAUUGCAGGUAAAGGUAACAACAGUAGUAGCAAGGAUAGGCUAUGCAUCAGGAUAGGAUAUCGAAAGCAGUAACAUGCUACACUACUCUAAUGCAAACAGUAUAGAGAAGAAUAGGCGAUAUCUGGUGAUCAAGGGGGGGGGCUUGCCUGGUUGCUCUGGCAGGAAGGAGGGGUCGUCAACUCCGUAGUCGAACUGGGGGUCACCGGUAGUCUCGGGGUCUACCGGAAAGAAGUAACGGAGGGGGAACAUAAUAAAUAACAGAGCAAUCAAAGCAACACAAAGCGUAACAUGACAAUACGCGGUGCUAGGUGUGCCCUAACGCGGUAGUAGGUGAUACCGACGAAGGGGGGAAACAUCCGGAAAGGUAUUCCCGGGGUUUCGCGUUUUCGGACAGAUGAAUCAGAGUGGAAAGUUGCGUGUUUGCUAUGCUAGGGAGGUGUGGCGGACGAACGGGCUGCGUAUCCGGAUUCGUCUUGUCGUUCUGAGCAACUUUCAUGUACAAAGUUUUUUCAUCCGAGCUACGGUUUAUUUUCUAUGAUUUUUCGAAGUUUAAACAAUAUUAUGGAAUUCCUGAAAAUUGGCUAAGUUUGAGAAUUGUUCAGUUUUUUUCUUAAACUUCACUUGGCUGUUUUCCGAAGGCUAUAACUAACGUUAUGUAGAUCUAAUGAAGACACUACAUAUAAGUGUUUUACUCUAUAUCAACAGCACUACAAGGCCAUGCCAUUAGAUAGCCUGAACAGCUUCUGUAACAGGUCCAUUUACAGCUCUGAAGUAGUUAAGACAGUAAAUCUGUUUUUCAGUUUUCUCUCUUAACAGAACAUAGACUUUUGUCAUUUUUAUAGGAAUUAAUCCAUGCCAUAUUUGAAUUUGGUCCAAUGGAAUAAUUUGGAGGUUGUCAUGUGUACUCCCAACACAAAUUAAUUUCAAUGAAGUUAGACUUUGUUUGACCAUAGUUUUGUUGCCAUCCAGAGAGCUAAGAAGGUAGAAAUAGCAAAAGCUAGCCAGCGCUACAGUAACAUUAAGUUACUGUAGUAGUGGCAGCAAAGCAGCGAAACGCAGCGGCAGGAGCGGCCGCAAGCGCGGGCGGGCAGCUGCGGGAGUGGGCACGCGCGCGGAUGGACAAGGGAGGCCACGGCGGUCAGGCACAGCGGCUAACGGCGCACGGGCGCCGGCAGCAGCAACAGCAUAGAGCAGCGGCAGCAAGGAGCAGAGAGCAGUAGCGACAAGCGCGGGAACAGCGGGCGACGUGCGCAUACGGCCGGGGCGUGGCGGCCACACGCGCAGACGGGCGCGGGGCAAGGCCCAGGGCGCGGCCAGGGAGCAGCAGUGAACAGACCGUAGCAGUGGCGGCUCCAGCACGCAUGUACGCGUACGCGUACGCGGGGGGUUCGGACGAACUCGGGGACGGCGUCUACGGCGACGAAAUCGACAGGGGGAGAGGGGUUUUUGGAAGAAGAGCUCACCACGGUUCCAACGGAAGUGACGAGGAGGCCUGAGGUGGACCGGAGAUGAGGCAAUCGGCGACGGCGGCCGGCGAUGUACGCGAAUGACUCGAGCUUGAUGGCGAGCGUACAGGCCCUCCCGGCUUGAUUCAAUGGUCGGGGACGAAGGAGACGACGACGAGG
rnacentral:lncRNA from 1 species